rnacentral:lncRNA from 1 species
UUAAUUGGUCUGGCUUUUUCUAGGCCUUCAGGACAGCUCUGAGUCCUCUGUUCCAUCAAUGGACUUCCCAGUUAUCUAAGCGUUUCUGGAGGAGAGCUUAAGCCAGGACAAGGAGCUGAAUGUAAUCCAGUUCAUUAUGGACAUGGCCAGCAUCCUGGCUUCCUAGUGCAACAGCAACAGAAGAGCCUCUGCUCAUGCUUGCCCAUCAGAAGAGCCAGUCAAGGUGAAGAAACCUUCCUGUAUCUCUUUAAAGAAGGUCCAAUAUGUUGAACAGUUUAGAAAGUACA